AUGCUCACCUGGCAGGGGAGAUACCAUGAUCAUGAAGGUGGUUUUCCAGGGCGAGGCUUAUCCAUUGCACUCCGAAUAUGCUAACCCCUGCGAUUUCCCCAAAUGUGGUAGUGGGGGACUGCGUUC
rnacentral:snRNA from 1 species